rnacentral:misc_RNA from 1 species
GAUGAAGGAACGUAGCGAAAUGCGAUAAGUAAUGUGAAUUGCAGAAUUCAGUGAAUCAUCGAAUCUUUGAACGCACAUUGCGCCCGCCAGUAUUCUGGCGGGCAUGCCUGUUCGAGCGUCAUUACAACCCUCAGGCCCCCGGGCCUGGCGUUGGGGAUCGGCGGAGCCCCCCGUGGGCACACGCCGUCCCCCAAAUACAGUGGCGGUCCCGCCGCAGCUUCCAUCGCGUAGUAGCUAACACCUCGCGACUGGAGAGCGGCGCGGCCACGCCGUAAAACACCCAACUCUUCUGAAGUUAACCUCGAAUCAGGUAGGAAUACCCGCUGAACUUAAGCAUAUCAAUAAGCGGAGGA